ACUCUGACGACGAGUCCCAAAUAGGACAAAACACGCGUCAAACUGGAU
rnacentral:hammerhead_ribozyme from 1 species